rfam:Treponema denticola ATCC 35405, complete genome.
GUUUAUCUAUCGAGUUUUGUGCGUUGCACAAAACAUCGUAUUAUUGUAUGCGGUUUGUAAACAAACCGCUUGAAAAAACUUUUUUUGCAAAUUGAUUCGCUAUCCGCUUUAGCGGAUACGAUAAAAAAUUUCCUUGCAGAACAGAACCGCAAGGGUCUGAUAUUUGCUACAAAAAGUUUUUAUAGGA